rfam:Hordeum vulgare subsp. vulgare, WGS project CAJW01000000 data, contig: morex_contig_139444
CUAAUACUUCCUCCGUCCUAAAGUUCUUGACUUGGUUUGUUUAGAAAUGGAUGUAUCUAUAUACUAAAACUUGACUAAAUACAUUCAUAUCUAUAUAAAUCUAAGACAAGAAUUUUAGAACGGAUGGAGUAAUAA